AUUGAACGCUGGCGGCAUGCCUUACACAUGCAAGUCGAACGGUAACAGGUCUUCGGAUGCUGACGAGUGGCGAACGGGUGAGUAAUACAUCGGAACGUGCCCGAGAGUGGGGGAUAACGAGGCGAAAGCUUUGCUAAUACCGCAUACGAUCUCAGGAUGAAAGCAGGGGACCGCAAGGCCUUGCGCUCACGGAGCGGCCGAUGGCAGAUUAGGUAGUUGGUGGGAUAAAAGCUUACCAAGCCGACGAUCUGUAGCUGGUCUGAGAGGACGACCAGCCACACUGGGACUGGGACACGGCCCAGACUCCUACGGGAGGCAGCAGUGGGGAAGUUUGGACAAUGGGCGCAAGCCUGAUCCAGCCAUGCCGCGUGCAGGAUGAAGGCCUUCGGGUUGUAAACUGCUUUUGUACGGAACGAAAAGACUCCUUCUAAUAAAGGGGGUCCAUGACGGUACCGUAAGAAUAAGCCCCGGCUAACUACGUGCCAGCCGCCGCGGUAAAAC
rnacentral:rRNA from 1 species